rnacentral:rRNA from 1 species
UCGAACGAUGAACCGGUGCUUGCACUGGGGAUUAGUGGCGAACGGGUGAGUAACACGUGAGUAACCUGCCCUUGACUCUGGGAUAAGCCUGGGAAACUGGGUCUAAUACCGGAUAUGACCUUCCAUCGCAUGGUGGUUGGUGGAAAGCUUUUGUGGUUUUGGAUGGACUCGCGGCCUAUCAGCUUGUUGGUGGGGUAAUGGCCUACCAAGGCGACGACGGGUAGCCGGCCUGAGAGGGUGACCGGCCACACUGGGACUGAGACACGGCCCAGACUCCUACGGGAGGCAGCAGUGGGGAAUAUUGCACAAUGGGCGCAAGCCUGAUGCAGCGACGCCGCGUGAGGGAUGACGGCCUUCGGGUUGUAAACCUCUUUCAGUAGGGAAGAAGCGAAAGUGACGGUACCUGCAGAAGAAGCGCCGGCUAACUACGUGCCAGCAGCCGCGGUAAUACGUAGGGCGCAAGCGUUAUCCGGAAUUAUUGGGCGUAAAGAGCUCGUAGGCGGUUUGUCGCGUCUGCCGUGAAAGUCCGGGGCUCAACUCCGGAUCUGCGGUGGGUACGGGCAGACUAGAGUGAUGUAGGGGAGACUGGAAUUCCUGGUGUAGCGGUGAAAUGCGCAGAUAUCAGGAGGAACACCGAUGGCGAAGGCAGGUCUCUGGGCAUUAACUGACGCUGAGGAGCGAAAGCAUGGGGAGCGAACAGGAUUAGAUACCCUGGUAGUCCAUGCCGUAAACGUUGGGCACUAGGUGUGGGGGACAUUCCACGUUUUCCGCGCCGUAGCUAACGCAUUAAGUGCCCCGCCUGGGGAGUACGGCCGCAAGGCUAAAACUCAAAGGAAUUGACGGGGGCCCGCACAAGCGGCGGAGCAUGCGGAUUAAUUCGAUGCAACGCGAAGAACCUUACCAAGGCUUGACAUGAACCGGAUCGCUGCAGAAAUGUGGUUUCCCCUUUGGGGCUGGUUUACAGGUGGUGCAUGGUUGUCGUCAGCUCG